rnacentral:ncRNA from 1 species
UUUAUAAAAUUUUGAAAGAUAAUCGGGAAGUUGGUGAAAAAUCCAACACUGCCCCCGCAACGGUAAUUGAGUUAAACAUCUGAUAAGCCACUGUGUUUUUUGACAUGGGAAGGCCAUUUGUUUUUAGCCUCAUUAGUCCGGAGACCGGCCUAGUUCUC